GUGCUUGCUUCCGCAGAACAUAUACUAAAACUAGAAGGAUACAGAGAAGAUUAGCAUGGCUCCUGCUCAAGGAUGACACACAAAUUUGUGAAAUGCUCCAUAUUUCU
rnacentral:snRNA from 1 species